CCCUUAGAUGUUCUGGGCCGCACACGCGCUACACUGAAGGAGGCAGCGUGUACUCCUGGAUCGAAAGAUUUGGGUAACCCGCGAAUCUCCUUCGUGCUAGGGAUUGAGGUUUGCAAUUAUCCUUCAUGAACGAGGAAUUCCCAGUAAGUGCAAGUCAUAAGCUUGCGCUGACUACGUCCCUGCCCUUUGUACACACCGCCCGUCGCUACUACCGAUUGAAUGAUUUAGUGAGGACUUCGGACUGGGACCGAUGCGGCUUUCGGGCUGCGUCGGUAUUCUGGAAAGAUGUCCAAACUGUAUCUUUUAGAGGAAGUAAAAGUCGUAACA
rnacentral:rRNA from 1 species